CGGAUAUAGUUUAUUGGUAGAACGCCGGCUUCCCAAGCCGACGAGGCGGGUUCGAUUCCCGUUAUCCG
rnacentral:tRNA from 1 species